GGGAUGGGAGCAGGAAGUGUCUGAGACCUCGUCGAGCCCCGCGGCGGUGUAUAAACCCGGGCGGGCCGUCAGAGCGGAGCUUCAGAGCAGAGACAAGAGCCCAGAAAGGAGCAGAUGCUAGAUUUGCAAGAUCAGAAGCAGGUCUUGAUCCCCCUGCCCAGAAUGAACCAGACUUGAUGAUGAUGCCACCUUCAGGAGCCACCACACUGUGUGACAGUGGGGCAUCUGGGCCGUCCCUGGGAAGAAGAGGUGAGCUGGGGUGGCCCAGGGGCAGGCUGCUCAGGAAAGGCUGCUUUGUUGGAGAGCCGUGAGGGCAAGGUCUGGGGGUAAGGGACAACCAGGCAGAGGGAGGAAGUUCUGUCUCCAGUCCCCUUAAAUGGCCCCCGCUCUUUACAGAUGCGCUGCUGUCACACAUGUCCACCACCACAUGUGACAUUAGUGACGUUAUCCUGAUGUCACAGGAUCCAAGAAUGAUGAUCUGUGAAGAGUUUUCCAAGGUCACCUACUUCUAACUCUUGAAAGAUUUAAAGACAUUGGGCCUGAAAAUUUCAGUGACUUGUCCAGGGAAACGCAGUUUGUGACAGUUCACUCUCUCACAGCUGAACCACAGUCCUCUGUACUCGCCCAGGAGCCCCAGAGAGUGAACAUCCCUCAGAAUUUUGGAUAUCUCCUUCUACCUUCUCGUAGCCUGUAAAGAUUCUGCUGAGAAAUCUCCUGAAAGUUUGAUAUGGUCUUUGUAAGUUAUUUUCUGCGGCCUUGCUGCCUUUAAAAAUAUUUCUUCUUUGUCACUGACUUUUGCCAGUUUUCCUACUCUAUGCCUUGGAGUAGGUCUUUUUACAUUGAUGUAAUCAGAAGUGCUGUUAGCGUCUUUUACUUGUAAUUCCAGCUCCUUUCCCAGGUCUGAACAGACUUUCUACUCCUUUCUCCCUCCCUUCUCCCUCUAUAAUACCCAUAGUUUUUAUGUUGCAUUUCCUAAUUGAAUCAGAUAUUUCCCAGAGAAUUUCUUCGUUUCUUUUUAGUCUUAAUUCUCUCUCCUCCUCCAUCUGAAGCCUUUCUGUAUUUCGGUCCUCCACAUUGCUAAUUCCGUCUUCCAUAAGGUCAGCUCUGUAAUCCAGGGUAUCCAGAUUUUUCUUUAUCUCAUUGUGUUUUUCAUCUCCAACAUUUCUGAUUGGUUUCUCUCUACAGGGUCAAUCUCUUUUGUGAAGUCUUCCCUCUGUUUAUUAAUUUUAUUCCUGAUUUAAUUGAACUAUCUGAAUUUUCUUGUAACUCGUUGAGUUUUUUAAUGUUAGUAGCUAUUUUGAAUUCUCUGUCGUUUACCUUGUAAAUUUGUGUGCCUUCAGGAUUGAUUUCUAGGUGCUUUUCACUUUCCUUCUGGUCUGGACUAUUAAUAUAUUUCUUGCUACUAUUUGAUGGGGUUGGUUUGUGCCUUCACGUAGAUAGUAUCUGGUUGCAGAUUCCACCUGCCACCACUGGAGGAGGUUCAGGAGCUGUGUAUUCUGAGCCUGCUGUGAUCCCUGGUGUCUGUGCUUGUCCUUUGGAAUCUAUGCUGACAGGACCCAUCUGCGAUUGCCUGCUUGUAGCUGCUGCUUUGCUAAUGGAGGAGAGUCUAAGGGAAGAGCUCACUCCGCCGUGAUGCUGAUGUCAUGCCUGGUCAUUCUACUUUUAAGUUUUUGAGGAACGUCUGUACUGUUUUCCACAGUGGCUGCACCAAUUUACAUUCCCACCAGCAGGUCUGAGGGCUCCCUUUUCUCCACAUGCUCUCCAACACUUCUGUUUUCUUUGUAAAGAUUGGCACCUGAGCUAACAUCUGUUGUCUAUCUUUUUUUCCUUCUUGUUCCCCCAAAACCCCC
rnacentral:lncRNA from 1 species